UAUAUAUAUAUAUAUAUAUAUAUAUGUAGAUAUAGAUAUGUGGGUGUUACAACAUUGAUUUAUAUUACGUAUUUCUCUAUUUAAGCCAUUAUCUAUAAAUAGACGUUGUACACUGACAUUUUUUUUCCAUUUGUUCUGUAUCUACGACGGUGGAAUACAUUCAGAAUGUCCGGGAGACGAUAUGGUUAUUUCCGAUGUCCUGAUUGCAAUACGCACUGGGAGAGUUCCCACACCUACAAAAUAUCUCGCUACGUGGAGAGUUAUUACAAACAAGACUGCAAGAAGUGCGGCACGGCCUGUGAACCAUACCGGGUGGAAUUACUGAUUUGCUCUGGGUGCGGGAGUAAGAAUUGUACAUGCACGCAGGAAGAGAAACGGGCCAGACACAUUGAUCUGAACAAACCGCACAGGUCCGAUCUGUGCCACAAAUGCCGCUCUGGGCACCCAUGCCAACAUGCAACAUUCUAAUGAGUAUCCGAGGAGACCGUAGUUUAGGUGAAGCAAUGGACAUAUACAUUCAUUCCCUAUAUUGUGUUUAAUUUGACAGUUGUCUGUCAAUGAAAUGAUUUUUCCCACUGAUUGGUAUUACUGGCCUGUUAUUCACAUGGAAUAAAUAACAAUCAUUUUCAUUUAACGAUAUUUUCUUGCGAUAAACUCCAAUCACCCGAACAGUCUGAUUAAAAUCAAACCUCUUACUUCGCAAUCUGAGCGAAGUUUUUAGAAUCAGACUGAUCCCUCCAGCUUAUUCGAAUCAGUAUUGGUACAUUGGACAUUGUCUUACCGUCACUUUUACACGACCAAUAUUCACGUGUUUUCUAUAGAAGUGGAUGCGUACACUGUCAGUGAAUAAAACCAAUUGUAUUCAAAGAUAUCGACGAGAAAUAAAUGUACACAUGUUGUAUGCUAUCGGAUUUCUUUUACUUAUAUAAGUGCGGAAUGUUAUUCAAUAUUUAAGUAUACUGAUUGUACCAGUAUUUAUAUUUGUUGUUUUAUAUAUACCGUAAGUAUAAUAGUUUAUUGAAUGAAACUUUGAAAGCAAUACUUCCGUUACAUAUACUAUCAAUUUACACGCGGUGUGUCUCUAUACUAUCAUGUACUGAACCAAUCAAUGAAUGUGAUCAGUGCCAAAAACCUUUUGUUUCACGGUAUUGCAUCAAUCGUCACACAUCACAUACAAAAUGCCCAUAUACACAUACAACGACCAUAGAAUUUGUGAAAUGCUGACUUUAAAUGAGACUGUUGAACCCCUGUAACAUCAACUUGUUUGUCAGUAGCCUGCCUCGAUUUAAAAAAAAACAACCUGAUCAUACGCAGAACAAGCUCUUGCUGUCGAAUGAGCUGAGAGAUAUAAACAUCAUAUGCAGGUGAUAAUGGAAUCCUGGUUCUUACAACAAGCAAGGGGUACAGAGAAGCUAUUCUAACCUGGAUCCACACGGACUAGCAAUAAAUGGGAGAUGACUUACUACACGACUUGUUGUCAACAUAAACCUAUCGUGGAUCAAUUAAAUUGCAGCUAUGGUUUGUGCAAACAUAAGGCUUGAUAAUAUUUUCCAACUUUAGUUCUUGAGAGGUUUAAAUACUGGGGAUGGGGGGGGGGGGGUCACAUAAAGAUUGACAGGUCAUGGAUCUAAAUUCACAUAAAAAUUGACAUGUCAUACAGAUGUAGAUCCAUUUAGAACUCUACAUUUUACAUUAAGCCCAAAUAAAAACUAACAGAAAAUAUAUCGUAUUCACGAAAUACGGGAAAGGUAGUACGCAUAAUGAAAGAUUCAUAAUAUGAUGAUAUAAUGCACCCCCCACCACCCACCACCACCCCCGUUAUUCAAUAUUUCUUAAAAUUACGCGUAUUGAUUCUCUAUCAUGUAUGGACUAUGGAGGGUUUUCAGAAAACGAUGAAAUAGCGAACAUCGCCUAUGAUUAAAAAAAGAAAGUUAAUGAUAAAAUCAUUAGACUUUGCCUUCAAUCAAGAUUAUAAGACUGGGAAAAAAUGCAUGACAUAAUAUAUUAUAUCUAUACAUGUAGGCCUAGAUAUAGACAACAUUGAUUUAUAUUACGUAUUUCUCUAUUUUAAGCCAUUAUCUAUAAAUAUAUGUUGUACACUGACAUUUUUUUUCCAUUUGUUCUGUAUCUACGACGGUGGAAUACAUUCAGAAUGUCCGGGAGACGAUAUGGUUAUUUCCGAUGCCCUGGUUGCAAUACCCACUGGGAGAGUUCCCACACCUACAAAAUAUCUCGCUACGAGGAGAGUUAUUACGAACAAGACUGCAAGAAGUGCGGCACGGCCUGUGAACCAUACCGGGUGGAAUUACUGAUUUGCUCUGGGUGCGGGAGUAAGAAUUGUACAUGCACGCAGGAAGAGAAACGGGCCAGACACAUUGAUCUGAACAAACCGCACAGGUCCGAUCUGUGCCACAAAUGCCGCUCUGGGCACCCAUGCCAACAUGCAACAUUCUAAUGGGUAUCCGAGGAGGCCGUAGUUUAGGUGAAGCAUUGGACAUAUACAUUCAUUCCCUAUAUUGUGUUUAAUUUGACAGUUGUCUAUGUUAAUGAAAAGAUUUUUUGCCACUGAUUGAUAUUACUGGUCUGUUAUUCACAUGGAAUAAAUAAACAAUCAUUUUCAUUUUACGAUAUUUUCUUUCGAUAAACUCCAAUCACCCCAACAGUCUGAUUAAAAUCAAACCUCUCACUUCGCAAUCUGAGCGAAGUUUUUAGAAUCAGACUGAUCCCUCCAGCUUAUUCGAAUCAGUAUUGGUACAUUGGACAUUGUCUUACCGUCACUUUUACACGACCAAUAUUCACGUGUUUUCUCUAGAUGUGGAUGCGUACACUGUCAGUGAAUAAAACCAAUUGUAUUCAAAGAUAUCGACGAGAAAUAAAUGUACACAUGGUGUAUGCUACCGGAUUUCUUUUACUUAUAUAAGUGCGGAAUGUUAUUCAAUAUUUAAGUAUACUGAUUGUACCAGUAUUUAUAUUUGUUGUUUUAGGUAUACCGUAAGUAUAAUAGUUUAUUGAAUGAAACUCUGAAAGCAAUACUUCCGUUACAUAUACUAUCAAUUUACACGCGGUGUGUCUCUAUACUAUCAUGUACUGAACCAAUCAAUGAAUGUGAUCAGUGCCAAAAACCUUUUGUUUCACGGUAUUGCAUCAAUCGUCACACAUCACAUACAAACUGCCCAUAUACACAUACAACGACCAUAGAAUUUGCGAAAUGCUGACUUUAAAUGAGACUGUUGAAACCCCUGUACAUCAACUUGUUUGUCAGUAGCUUGCCUCGAUUUAAAAACUGAUCAUACGCAGAACAGGCUCUUUCGUAUCGAAUGAGCUGAGAGAUAUAAACAUCAUAUGCAGGUGAUAAUGGAAUCCUGGUUCUUACGACAAGCAAGGGGUACAGAGAAGCUAUUCUAACCUGGAUCCACACGGACUAGCAAUAAAUGGGAGAUGACUUACUACACGACUUGUUGUCAACAUAAACCUAUCGUGAAUCAAUUAAAUUGCAGCUAUGGUUUGUGCAAACAUAAGGCUUGAUAAUAUUUUCCAACUUUAGUUCUUGAGAGGUUUAAAUACUGGGGAUGGGGGGGGGGGGGGGGUCACAUAAAGAUUGACAGGUCAUGGAUCUAAAUUCAUAUAAAAAUUGACAUGUCAUUCACAUGUAGAUCCAUUUAGAACUCUACAUUAGAACUUUACAUUAAGCCCAAAUAAAAACUAACAGAAAAUAUAUCGUAUUCACGAAAUACGGGAAAUGUAGUAAGCAUAAUGAAAAAUUCAUAAUAUGAUUAUAUAAUGCACACACACACACCCCCCCCCCCCACCCCGUUAUUCAAUAUUUCUUAAAAUUACGCGUAUCGAUUCUCUAUCAUGUAUGGACUAUGGAGGGUUUUCAGAAAACGAUGAAAUAGCGAACAUCGCCUAUGAUUAAAAAAAGAAAGUUAAUGAUAAAAUCAUUAGACUUUGCCUUCAAUCAAGAUUAUAAGAUUGAAAAAAAAAAUGCAUGACAUAAUAUAUUAUAUAUAAACAUGUAGGCCUAGAUAUAGACAACAUUGAUUUAUAUUACGUAUUUCUCUAUUUUAAGCCAUUAUCUAUAAAUAGAUGUUGUACACUGACAUUUUUUUCCCAUUUGUUCUGUAUCUACGACGGUGGAAUACAUUCAGAAUGUCCGGGAGACGAUAUGGUUAUUUCCGAUGCCCUGGUUGCAAUACCCACUGGGAGAGUUCCCACACCUACAAAAUAUCUCGCUACGAGGAGAGUUAUUACGAACAAGACUGCAAGAAGUGCCGCACGGCCUGUGAACCAUACCGGGUGGAAUUACUGAUUUGCUCUGGGUGCGGGAGUCGGAAUUGUACAUGCACGCAGGAAGAGAAACGGGCCAGACACAUUGAUCUGAACAAACCGCACAGGUCCGAUCUGUGCCACAAAUGCCGCUCUGGGCACACAUCCCAACAUGCAACAUUCUAAUGGGUAUCCGAGGAGGCCGUAGUUUAGGUGAAGCAUUGGACAUAUACAUUCAUUCCCUAUAUUGUGUUUAACUUGACAGUUGUCUAUGUUAAUGAAAAGAUUUUUUGCCACUGAUUGAUAUUACUGGUCUGUUAUUCACAUGGAAUAAAUAAACAAUCAUUUUCA